GUCUAUGGCCAUACCACCCUGAACGUGCCCAAUCUCGUCUGAUCUCAGAAGCUAAGCAGGGUCGGGCCUGGUUAGUACUUGGAUGGGAGAACAGACUUUCUUGAGGAUAAUUCAGACAUUCCUAAAUU
rnacentral:rRNA from 1 species